CUCUGUGGACCAGGCUGGCCUUGAACUCAGAGAUCCACCUGCCUCUACCUCCCAAGGGCUGAGAUUAAAAGUGUGCACCAGUGCACCCAGUGACAGGCUGCUGUUUUAAAACUGUAAGAUUUAUUGGUGCAACAACUGUUGAAAACACACUGUGGGUCCUUAAAACUAAAAGAAUAAAAACAAAAACAAAAAAGAGAGUCCACCUGGCCCAGCAAUCUCAUGUAUGUAUACUCACCCUGAGAACUGAAAGUUGCCCGAAGCCAACAGCGCCCACCCCCUCCCAUUCUGGAAGUACGUUUAAGAUAGCCAGAAGGGAGAAGCAGGCCAAGUGGCCAACAUGGGUGGAUGCCGAUGAAACACAGCCUAGUCACACGGUGGAUGCUUCUCAGCCAGCCAUAACACAAGACGGACGCACAGAACAUCCUUGCUCACGUCAGUAAUUUCGGCACUCAGGAGGAGGAAGAGGAGGAGACAGGAGGAUCAGGAAUUCAAAUUUAUCCCUGUCUAACAUAUUUUGAGGAUACCCUGGGCUACACAAGACCCCAUCUCAGCUGGGUAUUGUGUCAUAGGCCUUUAAUCCCAGCUCUUGGGAGGCAGAGGCUGUAGAUCUCUAAGUUUGAGACUAGCCUAGUCUACAGAGAGAGAGAUCAGGGAGAGCUGGAGCCACACAGAGAAACCCUGUCUUGAAA
rnacentral:lncRNA from 1 species